rnacentral:rRNA from 1 species
GGUUAAGCGACUAAGCGUACACGGUGGAUGCCCUGGCAGUCAGAGGCGAUGAAGGACGUGCUAAUCUGCGAAAAGCGUCGGUAAGGUGAUAUGAACCGUUAUAACCGGCGAUGUCCGAAUGGGGAAACCCAGUGUGAUUCGUCACACUAUCGUUAACUGAAUACAUAGGUUAACGAGGCGAACCGGGGGAACUGAAACAUCUAAGUACCCCGAGGAAAAGAAAUCAACCGAGAUUCCCCCAGUAGCGGCGAGCGAACGGGGAGCAGCCCAGAGUCUGAAUCAGCUUGUGUGUUAGUGGAACGGUCUGGAAAGUCCGACGGUACAGGGUGAUAGUCCCGUACACCAAAAUGCACAGGCUGUGAACUCGAAGAGUAGGGCGGGACACGUGGUAUCCUGUCUGAAUAUGGGGGGACCAUCCUCCAAGGCUAAAUACUCCUGACUGACCGAUAGUGAACCAGUACCGUGAGGGAAAGGCGAAAAGAACCCCGGCGAGGGGAGUGAAAAAGAACCUGAAACCGUGUACGUACAAGCAGUGGGAGCACCUUCGGGUGUGACUGCGUACCUUUUGUAUAAUGGGUCAGCGACUUAUAUUCUGUAGCAAGGUUAACCGUAUAGGGGAGCCGCAGGGAAACCGAGUCUUAACUGGGCGUUAAGUUGCAGGGUAUAGACCCGAAACCCGGUGAUCUAGCCAUGGGCAGGUUGAAGGUUGGGUAACACUAACUGGAGGACCGAACCGACUAAUGUUGAAAAAUUAGCGGAUGACUUGUGGCUGGGGGUGAAAGGCCAAUCAAACCGGGAGAUAGCUGGUUCUCCCCGAAAGCUAUUUAGGUAGCGCCUCGUGAACUCAUCUUCGGGGGUAGAGCACUGUUUCGGCUAGGGGGUCAUCCCGACUUACCAACCCGAUGCAAACUACGAAUACCGAAGAAUGUUAUCACGGGAGACACACGGCGGGUGCUAACGUCCGUCGUGAAGAGGGAAACAACCCAGACCGCCAGCUAAGGUCCCAAAGUCAUGGUUAAGUGGGAAACGAUGUGGGAAGGCACAGACAGCCAGGAUGUUGGCUUAGAAGCAGCCAUCAUUUAAAGAAAGCGUAAUAGCUCACUGGUCGAGUCGGCCUGCGCGGAAGAUGUAACGGGGCUAAACCAUGCACCGAAGCUGCGGCAGCGACACUAUGUGUUGUUGGGUAGGGGAGCGUUCUGUAAGCCUGCGAAGGUGUGCUGUGAGGCAUGCUGGAGGUAUCAGAAGUGCGAAUGCUGACAUAAGUAACGAUAAAGCGGGUGAAAAGCCCGCUCGCCGGAAGACCAAGGGUUCCUGUCCAACGUUAAUCGGGGCAGGGUGAGUCGACCCCUAAGGCGAGGCCGAAAGGCGUAGUCGAUGGGAAACAGGUUAAUAUUCCUGUACUUGGUGUUACUGCGAAGGGGGGACGGAGAAGGCUAUGUUAGCCGGGCGACGGUUGUCCCGGUUUAAGCAUGUAGGCUGAUUGUCCAGGCAAAUCCGGAUAAUCAAGGCUGAGGUGUGAUGACGAGGCACUACGGUGCUGAAGUAACAAAUGCCCUGCUUCCAGGAAAAGCCUCUAAGCAUCAGGUAACAUUAAAUCGUACCCCAAACCGACACAGGUGGUCAGGUAGAGAAUACCAAGGCGCUUGAGAGAACUCGGGUGAAGGAACUAGGCAAAAUGGUGCCGUAACUUCGGGAGAAGGCACGCUGGUGUGUAGGUGAAGUCCCUGCGGAUGGAGCUGAGACCAGUCGAAGAUACCAGCUGGCUGCAACUGUUUAUUAAAAACACAGCACUGUGCAAACACGAAAGUGGACGUAUACGGUGUGACGCCUGCCCGGUGCCGGAAGGUUAAUUGAUGGGGUUAUCCGUAAGGAGAAGCUCUUGAUCGAAGCCCCGGUAAACGGCGGCCGUAACUAUAACGGUCCUAAGGUAGCGAAAUUCCUUGUCGGGUAAGUUCCGACCUGCACGAAUGGCGUAAUGAUGGCCAGGCUGUCUCCACCCGAGACUCAGUGAAAUUGAACUCGCUGUGAAGAUGCAGUGUACCCGCGGCAAGACGGAAAGACCCCGUGAACCUUUACUAUAGCUUGACACUGAACAUUGAGCCUUGAUGUGUAGGAUAGGUGGGAGGCUUUGAAGCGUGGACGCCAGUCUGCGUGGAGCCAACCUUGAAAUACCACCCUUUAAUGUUUGAUGUUCUAACGUUGGCCCCUGACCGGGGUUGCGGACAGUGUCUGGUGGGUAGUUUGACUGGGGCGGUCUCCUCCCAAAGCGUAACGGAGGAGCACGAAGGUUAGCUAAUCCUGGUCGGACAUCAGGAGGUUAGUGCAAUGGCAUAAGCUAGCUUGACUGCGAGCGUGACGGCGCGAGCAGGUGCGAAAGCAGGUCAUAGUGAUCCGGUGGUUCUGAAUGGAAGGGCCAUCGCUCAACGGAUAAAAGGUACUCCGGGGAUAACAGGCUGAUACCGCCCAAGAGUUCAUAUCGACGGCGGUGUUUGGCACCUCGAUGUCGGCUCAUCACAUCCUGGGGCUGAAGUAGGUCCCAAGGGUAUGGCUGUUCGCCAUUUAAAGUGGUACGCGAGCUGGGUUUAGAACGUCGUGAGACAGUUCGGUCCCUAUCUGCCGUGGGCGCUGGAGAAUUGAGGGGGGCUGCUCCUAGUACGAGAGGACCGGAGUGGACGCAUCACUGGUGUUCGGGUUGUCAUGCCAAUGGCACUGCCCGGUAGCUAAAUGCGGAAGAGAUAAGUGCUGAAAGCAUCUAAGCACGAAACUUGCCCCGAGAUGAGUUCUCCCUGAGACUUUAAGUCUCCUGAAGGAACGUUAAAGACGAUGACGUUGAUAGGCCGGGUGUGUAAGCGCAGCGAUGCGUUGAGCUAACCGGUACUAAUGAACCGUGAGGCUUAACCUU